rnacentral:rRNA from 1 species
UCGAGAAUCUUCCGCAAUGGGCGCAAGCCUGACGGAGCGAUGCCGCGUGAGGGAUGAAGGCCUUCGGGUUGUAAACCUCUGUCAUCCGGGACGAAAACAAUGACGGUACCGGAAAAGGAAGCCACGGCUAACCACGUGCCAGCAGCCGCGGUAACACGUGGGUGGCGAGCGUUAUUCGGAUUUACUGGGCGUAAAGGGUCCGCAGGGGGCCUGCCACGCCUGCCGUGAAAUUCCAAGGCUCAACCUUGGACCUGCGGCGGGUACGGGCGGGCUAGAGUGGAAGAAGGGCAGACGGAAUUCCAGGUGUAGCGGUGGAAUGCGUAGAUAUCUGGAAGAACACCGAUGGCGAAGGCGGUCUGCUGGCUUGUAACUGACCCUCAGGGACGAGAGCGUGGGUAGCAAACAGG